CCUACGGGAGGCAGCAGCUAAGAAUAUUCCGCAAUGGACGAAAGUCUGACGGAGCGACGCCGCGUGAACGACGAAGGUGGAAACAUUGUAAAGUUCUUUUAAUUGAGAGGAAUAAGCUUUGUAGGGAAUGACAGAGUGGUGACUGUAUCAAUUGAAUAAGCAACGGCUAAUUACGUGCCAGCAGCCGCGGUAAU
rnacentral:rRNA from 1 species